AUCAAUGCUUCUUAUGGGCUUUAGCAUACAAUCCUCAAACCUCAAAAAGAGAUCUUCCAUUCUGGUAACUCGAGAAACAAGCUGGUGCAGAACACCUUCAAUAUGAUUGUGUGAUAUAUCAGGCUUGCUCUCUUUAUCUGAUACUUGUGGAGGAAUCUCCAGCUCAACCGGUUUGGCAGGUACUGUAAGGUCAAUGCAAUUGCCUGGGGAAUCACCUUCAUCCCCCUCACUGUGCAGCAAGUGUCCAUUUACUCCUUCACUUGUUCUCCCACAGUUGUUAUUGUUAGCAGAUCUCAGCACACUCUUGUUGCUCUCUAAAGAAGAAAUGUUGGGUGAAGAUGACCAUGAACUCGUUGGGAUCUCUGUCCCAUCAGUUUCACCAAAGCCAGUGAGAGGUCCUUUGAGUAUUUCAGAAUGGACUUUUGGUGAAGUUGCUUUAUCACUGUUAUUUCCUUCUUCAUUUGAAAACUCAGGAGCUUUAACAGCAAUAGUUUUUGAAAAUUUUGAAGAUGAAGUUAACAAUCCAGCAAGUGCAGAUGCUAAAGCAUCAUCAAUUGAUAAACCAAGUUUUUGUUUCUCCUUUGGAGAUUCCGUCAUUGGUUCUGCUGCAUCAUCUUUUUCUUCGUCAUCUGAUUUCACUGCAUCAUCUUCUUCAUCAUCAUCACAAUUUGAAAUCUCUGGAGCAGUAACUACAAGACUAGGAUGCGACCNNNNNNNNNNNNNNNNNNNNNNNNNNNNNNNNNNNNNNNNNNNNNNNNNNAGUUGCUGCUCUACUCUUUGGAGCCUCUCAUCAAUGCUUCUUAUGGGCUUUAGCGUACAAUCCUCAAACCUCAAAAAGUGAUCUUCCAUUCUGGUAACUCGAGAAACAAGCUGGUGCAGAACACCUUCCAUAUGAUUGUGAGAUAUAUCAGGCUUGCUCUCUUUAUCUGAUACUUGUGAAGGAAUCUCCAGCUCAAUCGGUUUGGCAGUAGGUAUAACUUGUUCUUGCAACUGCACUCCCUGCUUAGAAACUGAACCAGAUUUCCCUUCCUGCUCUAUAUCUUUUCCAGCAUCAAUCGGAUCAGGUGGUUUUGCCUCAUUUUUCUCUGACUUUUGUUCAUUUAUUUUCUCACGGUCACAUUUG
rnacentral:lncRNA from 1 species